rnacentral:lncRNA from 1 species
GGGAGGGAAGAAACAGAGCGAGCUACGCUGCAGGAGCGCAGUUACCAGCCGGCUGCGAUCACGUGCCUGGGAGGAGGAGCUGAGACCUCAGGGGAGGGGCGCGCGGUAGCGUCCCGGGUCCCCUAGCAGGGCUCUAGAGACCACGUGAAGUCUCCUCGGAGCUGGUGUAGUGAAGGAUGAAGAGAAGGCAAUGCAUUGGUUUAGACAAGCCUCCCAGCAGGACCAUCCUGGUGCUGCCUUUAACCUUGCAGUAGGAACACUGAAAAACAUGACUGCCUCCAUGGAAGCAGGGGAUGUAGAAAUGCUCCUUAAUGUUGCUGCAAAAUGGGGGAUCCAAGAAGCCCAAGAACUUCUGGAGAAUGUUAUUUGGACUAAAAGCAAGCUCUUGCCAACUGAAAGAACCAGGAGUUCUUAUAAACCAUAAUGUGUGCCUGCAUGCUCUUCCUGGAACAUGGGAUGUUCUGCUCUC